AUGACCAUAUCCAGGGUCAUCUCUCUCCUUCCCAAUGCCAUCUUCACGGAGGAUACAGACAGGCAUGCAGAAGUAACUAGACGUCCAACACAUGGCAAAGUCUUGCGGGCCCAGGAUUUCAAACAAAAGAAAACUCGGACAGGAGUGCUCUGCCCACCUGGACUGAGGGAACAGCCCUGGCAAAGUCUCAAGACAGGUCAAGAAACUGGGGAAGGCAAUCAGCUCUUGCAUCGUCCACAUUGUUUCUGGAGCACAGCCUGGCUGAUCCUGGGGCUAGAGCUCAGAACCAGAUCCAGCUUAGAAAUAAUGUUUCACUCAAGAUAA
rnacentral:lncRNA from 1 species